rnacentral:rRNA from 1 species
AGUGAACGCUGGCGGUAGGCCUAACACAUGCAAGUCGAACGGCAGCACAGAGGAGCUUGCUCCUUGGGUGGCGAGUGGCGGACGGGUGAGGAAUACAUCGGAAUCUACUCUGUCGUGGGGGAUAACGUAGGGAAACUUACGCUAAUACCGCAUACGACCUACGGGUGAAAGCAGGGGAGCUUCGGACCUUGCGCGAUUGAAUGCGCCGAUGUCGGAUUAGCUAGUUGGCGGGGUAAAGGCCCACCAAGGCGACGAUCCGUAGCUGGUCUGAGAGGAUGAUCAGCCACACUGGAACUGAGACACGGUCCAGACUCCUACGGGAGGCAGCAGUGGGGAAUAUUGGACAAUGGGCGCAAGCCUGAUCCAGCCAUACCGCGUGGGUGAAGAAGGCCUUCGGGUUGUAAAGCCCUUUUGUUGGGAAAGAAAUCCAUCUGGUUAAUACCCGGGUGGGAUGACGGUACCCAAAGAAUAAGCACCGGCUAACUUCGUGCCAGCCGCCGCAGUAA